CUGGAUUUGUGUUUCCUUUCUCUAAAUUAAGUUUGCAUAAACUAAAUUUUAUGAAACUUAUACACAAUACCUAUUACCACUAAAUCAGAUCAAGUGUUUUCGGUAGAGUCACUUUUACAGUUAUGUCCUUUUAUAACUUUAUAUGAUAUGCAAGCGUGGGCAUCAUCUGUGAUCCAUUGAUACAUUCCCCAUUUAAUUUUUUGUUAAACAUCAAUUUUUUAAUUUUUUGGUUGUCAGAGCCGAUUAAUGCCCCAUUUGUUUGUAGGUAAGAAUUGGUAAAGUAACACACACACAUAUAUAUAUCAAAAAAGUGCACAAAAACCUAAUUAUUGAUAUUAUGUUGAUAGUCCUAAGUAUAAAACUUUAUUAAAAACUGUCACAUAAACUUAGCAUUAACCAAGAUAACUAAACAAAGACCAAUGAACCAUGAAAAUGAGGUCAAGGUCAGAUGAACCAUGCCAGGCAGACAUGUACAGCUAACAAUGCUUCCAUACAACAAAUAUAGUUGACCUAUUACUUAUAGUUUAAGAAAAAUAGACCAAAACACAAAAACUUAACACUGAGCAAUGAACCGUGAAAAUGAGGUCAAGGUCAAAUAAAACCUGUGGGACUGACAUAUAGAUCAUAAAAUAUUUCCAUACACCAAAUAUAGUUGACCUAUGGCAUAUAGUAUUAGAUAAAAAGACCAAAACUCAAAAACUUAACUUUGACCACUCAACCAUGAAAAUGAGCUCAAGGUCAGAUGACAUCUGCCCGCUAGACAUGUACAUCUUACAAUCAUUCCAUACAACAAAUAUAGUAGAUUAUUGCAUAAGUAUGAGAAAAACAGACCAAAACACAAAACUUAACUAUAACCACUGAACCAUGAAAAUGAGGUCAAGGUCAGAUGACACCUGCCAGUUGGACAUGUACACCUUACAGUCCUUCCAUACACUGAAUAUACUAGACCUAUUGCUUAUAGUAUCUGAGAUAUGGACUUGACCACCAAAACUUAACCUUGUUCACUGAUCCAUGAAAUGAGGUCGAGGUCAAGUGAAAACUGUCUGACGGGCAUGAGGACCUUGCAAGG
rnacentral:lncRNA from 1 species